rnacentral:rRNA from 1 species
UACGUAGGGUGCAAGCGUUGUCCGGAAUUAUUGGGCGUAAAGAGCUCGUAGGCGGUUCGUCGCGUCGGCUGUGAAAACCUGAGGCUCAACCUCAGGCCUGCAGUCGAUACGGGCGGACUUGAGUACUGCAGGGGAGACUGGAAUUCCUGGUAUAGCGGUGAAAUGCGCAGAUAUCAGGAGGAACACCGGUGGCGAAGGCGGGUCUCUGGGCAGUAACUGACGCUGAGGAGCGAAAGCGUGGGGAGCGAACAGG